AGCAGUGGGGAAUAUUGCACAAUGGGCGCAAGCCUGAUGCAGCCAUGCCGCGUGUGUGAAGAAGGCCUUCGGGUUGUAAAGCACUUUCAGUAGGGAGGAAGGUGGUAGUGUUAAUAGCACUGUCAUUUGACGUUACCUACAGAAGAAGCACCGGCUAACUCCGUGCCAGCAGCCGCGGUAAUACGGAGGGUGCGAGCGUUAAUCGGAAUUACUGGGCGUAAAGCGCAUGCAGGUGGUUUGUUAAGUCAGAUGUGAAAGCCCCGGGCUCAACCUGGGAAUUGCAUUUGAAACUGGCAAACUAGAGUACUGUAGAGGGGGGUAGAAUUUCAGGUGUAGCGGUGAAAUGCGUAGAGAUCUGAAGGAAUACCGGUGGCGAAGGCGGCCCCCUGGACAGAUACUGACACUCAGAUGCGAAAGCGUGGGGAGCAAACAGGAUUAGAUACCCUGGUAGUCCACGCCGUAAACGAUGUCUACUUGGAGGUUGUGGCCUUGAGCCGUGGCUUUCGGAGCUAACGCGUUAAGUAGACCG
rnacentral:rRNA from 1 species